rnacentral:rRNA from 1 species
AACGCUAGCUACAGGCUUAACACAUGCAAGUCGCGGGGCAGCAUGAAUUUAGCUUGCUAAAUUUGAUGGCGACCGGCGCACGGGUGAGUAACGCGUAUCCAACCUGCCCAUCACUUGGGAAUAACCUUGCGAAAGUAAGACUAAUGCCCAAUGACAUUUAUAGAAGGCAUCUGAAAUGAAUUAAAGAUUUAUCGGUGAUUGAUGGGGAUGCGUCUGAUUAGCUUGUUGGCGGGGUAACGGCCCACCAAGGCGACGAUCAGUAGGGGUUCUGAGAGGAAGGUCCCCCACAUUGGAACUGAGACACGGUCCAAACUCCUACGGGAGGCAGCAGUGAGGAAUAUUGGUCAAUGGGCGAGAGCCUGAACCAGCCAAGUAGCGUGCAGGAAGACGGCCCUAUGGGUUGUAAACUGCUUUUAUAGGGGAAUAAAGUGAGCCACGUGUGGUUUUUUGCAUGUACCCUAUGAAUAAGGACCGGCUAAUUCCGUGCCAGCAGCCGCGGUAAUACGGAAGGUCCGGGCGUUAUCCGGAUUUAUUGGGUUUAAAGGGAGCGUAGGCCGGAGAUUAAGCGUGUUGUGAAAUGUAGACGCUCAACGUCUGCACUGCAGCGCGAACUGGUUUCCUUGAGUACGCAUAAAGUGGGCGGAAUUCGUGGUGUAGCGGUGAAAUGCUUAGAUAUCACGAAGAACUCCGAUUG